GUUGUUUCUAUGAGAUCGCUUGCUUGGGCGUGUGCUCAGAACCUGCUGUGAUUGUCGCGUGGCAGCAGCCGCCCAGUUCGUGAGACUCUGACCGAGAGAACAGCCACAGCCCAGACAGUGUUUGGUGACAUAAAACAAAGGGUAGUCGCCUGCCAUCCUGGAUUCUUCGCUACAGAAGCUUUGGCUCCUCAGUGGACACCCAGACUCACUCUUACAUGCUCAGGAGGAUGUCAUUUGGGACCCACCUUGCCCAUUGCACCUUAUGCAAGUGGGACUCCUGGGAGAAAGACUCCAUGUUCCAGUUCGUGUGACUCACGUGAUCACCUCAUGGGCAUAAUCAGGGCCUCAGUAAACAGCCCUUGUAAAAGCAGCCUUUUAUCUACCUGCCUUCAGAGCUGCUGGGGCGGGACAUGCACGAGAAACCUGAACACAAUGUUUUUAA